rnacentral:tRNA from 1 species
GCAAAAGGGGACUUGAAGGGACUUAAAAUCCCUCGGCUCAUGCCGUGCCGGUUCGAGUCCGGCCCUGGGCACCA